rnacentral:lncRNA from 1 species
GGUGGAACAUACCAGUCCAGCAGUGGUGGUUGUGUCAAGAAUGUUCAAGGUUCAUCUUACAGUGGCAGCAAGUCGUCUGAAGUUAUUGUGAUUACACAAGGAAAAGGCAGCGGCGGCAGCAGCAGCAGCAGCAGCAGUGGAUGCAUUUGCAGGGCAAACUCGCAAGUGUAUAUAACAAAUAUGGUUGUGGAGAUGCUGGAACUGACAUUAGCGGCCAGUCUUCAUAUGGCCAGUCUUCCACCAAUGCAGGCAGCAAAGUAAAGGUGUAUACCUACCCACAGAGCAACCCCUUCCCCCCAGAGCGUGAAUCCAUUUCAUCGAAAAUUGCAAAUUCCAAAUACAAUGGAGCCAUUUAUUCCAAGGGUUUAAGACCUCAGAGUGGUUCAUCCGAAACCAUUCGCAUUACUGUCCAGAGUGGACAAGGCAGCCCAGCUUGUGAUAAGAGUUCAACCUCUUACAACAUCCAGGCUUGUAACCAGCUGGGUCAGUCUUCAAGCUCACAGAGUGGCAGUUCCUUUGGUGCACAGAGUGGAAAAUUUUCAUCAAACAGCAAUUCUAUAUACAGUCAGGGUUCAAGAACUCAAGGUGGUUCAUCAGAAACUAUCCGGAUUACUGUCCAGGGUCAGCCUUCAGGUUCACAGGGUGGCAGCACUUAUGGCAUACAGGGCCAGUCUUCAGGCUCACAGAGUAGCAGCUCCUAUGGCACACAGGGUGGAUCCUAUUCAAGUGGAGGCAGUCCCUGUGGCCAGGGAACAACAUAUGACAGCAAUCCCUGCCAUCAGAACCAAGCCUCAUCCUCCUCUUCUUCCUCUUCAUAUUCUUCCUCUUCUUACGGCAACCAGGGACAAGCAUCUUCCUACGGCAACCAAGGUAGUUUACAAUAUCAAGGCAACAGCAAUGGUUGUAAUUCGGGAUCUUCUUCACAAAGCAAUUACAACAACCAGGAUCAAUCAUCUCCCUAUGGCAAUCAGGGUGCUUCUUCUUACAACCACAACAGGUGUUGAGUG